AGGACGACGGCUGGCGGCGUGCCUAACACAUGCAAGUCGAGCGGGGCAGGGGCGGAUGGCAACUGAAGCCUCUACCUAGCGGCGGACGGGUGAGUAACGCGUGGGCAACCUGCCUCAAGGGAUCGGGAUAACAGCUCGAAAGGGCUGCUAAUACCGGAUGCGCUCACGGCCUCGCAUGGGGCUGUGAGCAAAGGGGAAACCCGCCUUGAGAUGGGCCCGCGUCCCAUCAGCUAGUUGGUGAGGUGAAAGCUCACCAAGGCGACGACGGGUAGCCGGCCUGAGAGGGUGACCGGCCACACUGGGACUGAGACACGGCCCAGACUCCUACGGGGGGCAGCAGUGGGGGAUCUUGCACAAUGGGCGAAAGCCUGAUGCAGCGACGCCGCGUGAGCGAAGAAGGCCUUCGGGUUGUAAAGCUCUGUCUGGAGGGACGAAACAAAUGACGGUACCUCCGGAGGAAGCCACGGCUAACUACGUG
rnacentral:rRNA from 1 species